UGGCGGACGGGUGAGUAAUGUCUGGAAACUGCCCGAUGGAGGGGGAUAACUACUGGAAACGGUAGCUAAUACCGCAUAACGUCGCAAGACCAAAGAGGGGGACCUUCGGGCCUCUUGCCAUCGGAUGUGCCCAGAUGGGAUUAGCUAGUAGGUGGGGUAACGGCUCACCUAGGCGACGAUCCCUAGCUGGUCUGAGAGGAUGACCAGCCACACUGGGACUGAGACACGGCCCAG
rnacentral:rRNA from 1 species